rnacentral:rRNA from 1 species
GAGUAAGCAGUCGGAACGUAUCUGGAGUGGGGAUACGUAGCGAAAGUUACGCUAAUACCGCAUAUUCUGUGAGCAGGAAAGCAGGGGAUCGCAAGACCUUGCGCUCUGGGAGCGGCCGAUGUCGGAUUAGCUAGUUGGUGGGUAAAGGCCUACCAAGGCGACGAUCCGUAGCGGGUCUGAGAGGAUGAUCCGCCACACUGGGACUGAGACACGGCCCAGACUCCUACGGGAGGCAGCAGUGGGGAAUUUUGGACAAUGGGCGCAAGCCUGAUCCAGCCAUGCCGCGUGAGUGAAGAAGGCCUUCGGGUUGUAAAGCUCUUUCGGCGGGGAAGAAAUUGCACGGGUUAAUACCCUGUGUAGAUGACGGUACCCGAAUAAGAAGCACCGGCUAGCUACGUG